rnacentral:tRNA from 1 species
GCGUCGGUGGUUCAGUGGUAGAAUGCUCACCUGCCACGCGGGUGACCCGGGUUUGAUUCCCGGCUGACGCA